rnacentral:rRNA from 1 species
UACGAAGGGUGCAAGCGUUAGUCGGAAUUACUGGGCGUAAAGCGUGCGUAGACGGUCAUGUAAGUCGGGUGUGAAAGCCCCGGGCUCAACCUGGGAAUUGCAUUCGAGACUGCAUGGCUAGGAUGCGGAAGAGGGAAGCGGAAUUUCCGGUGUAGCGGUGAAAUGCGUAGAUAUCGGAAGGAACACCAGUGGCGAAAGCGGCUUCCUGGUCCAGCAUCGACGUUCAGGCACGAAAGCGUGGGGAGCAAACAGG